rnacentral:rRNA from 1 species
GUGUCAGCAGCCGCGGUAAUACGGAGGGGGCAAGCGUUGUUCGGAUUUACUGGGCGUAAAGGGUGUGUAGGCGGUUGCGUCAGUCUGGUGUGAAAUCUUCACCGCUCAACGGGAAGGAGCCACUGGAAACUGCGCAACUCGAGUAUGGUAGAGGCUAGCGGAAUUCCUGGUGUAGCGGUGGAAUGUGUAGAUAUCAGGAAGAACAUCUGUGGCGAAGGCGGCUAGCUGGGCCAUCACUGACGCUGAGACACGAAAGCGUGGGGAGCGAACGGGAUUAGAUACCCCGGUAGUCCACGCUGUAAACGGUGCGCACUAGGUGUGAGGGGUAUCGACCCCCCUUGUGCCGAAGUUAACACAUUAAGUGCGCCGCCUGGGGAGUACGGCCGCAAGGUUGAA